GGCGAACGGCCGCUGCUCGUCUGCAAGGUAGGGGCAGGCGAGCUCCUGCCUCCCCUGUAGCCCUUCGCAGCGGCCACUGAAGGUGGUGUGAAAGACCUCUGUGUGCGAAAGAGCGAGCAGGAACUAAGGCUGAAAGAAGGCAAUUUGCUCAAGACCACCACAUGAUGUUUUGGCGGCAGAGGCUGCCGUAUUAUAAUUUGUUUAGGUUGCUUAUUUUGCAAUAUGGGAGCAAGCCGCAUGAAUUAAACACAGUGGAAUUACAUGUGGACAAUUCCAGUGGUGAGAAUUCAGAAGCUUGCUAAAAGAAAUGUCUGAGUUCGAUUCCCCAAAUUUCCACAAAAUGUAGGUAUUUACAGGACUGUUCUCCUCUUCAGGCUGCCGAUCCUUUUCCUGUGCUUGCUCCUGGCCACAAUCCUUAGCUUAGCCUUGUCUCCGUCUCCGUUUAUUCCCCCUCCCCGCAACUUGUUUCACAGAAUGGGACAGAAGAUAGAAGUAAGCUGCACAAGAGAGCACAGUUCUUACAGUUGUGGUCAAGUCAGGAAGACUUGUGCAUUUGGGAGGAAAGUAUGGCAUGCAGCAAAUGCAUUUUGCCUGGAGCUUGCUGUAAAACCCAGGUUGGGGAUAGAAGAAAUUGGGUUGAGGCAGAAUAUGUUUGCAACUUGUCGCUUGCUGUACAGAAUUGCUCCUAUUGGUUGGUUUAUUUUCUUGCUUUAAGAUUGCUUAAGUUGCUCCCUCAAAACUGCUUACAUUUAAAUUGUAAUAAA